rnacentral:rRNA from 1 species
UGGGGAAUAUUGCACAAUGGGCGCAAGCCUGAUGCAGCCAUGCCGCGUGUAUGAAGAAGGCCUUCGGGUUGUAAAGUACUUUCAGCGGGGAGGAAGGGAGUAAAGUUAAUACCUUUGCUCAUUGACGUUACCCGCAGAAGAAGCACCGGCUAACUCCGUGCCAGCAGCCGCGGUAAUACGGAGGGUGCAAGCGUUAAUCGGAAUUACUGGGCGUAUAGCGCACGCAGGCGGUUUGUUAAGUCAGAUGUGAAAUCCUCGGGCUCAACCUGGGAACUGCAUCUGAUACUGGCAAGCUGGAGUCUCGUAGAGGGGGGUAGAAUUCCAUGUGUAGCGGUGAAAUGCGUAGAGAUCUGGAGGAAUACCGGUGGCGAAGGCGGCCCCCUGGACGAAGACUGACGCUCAGGUGCGAAAGCGUGGGGAGCAAACAGG